UACAGAGGGGGCCAGCGUUAUUCGGAAUUAUUGGGCGUAAAGGGCGCGUAGGCGGCCAUGCGUGUCUUCCGUGAAAUCCCUUGGCUUAACCGAGGACGUGCGGAAGAAACUGCAAGGCUCGAGUCCGGAAGAGGGGGGCGGAAUUCCCAGUGUAGCGGUGAAAUGCGUAGAUAAUGGGAGGAACACCAGUGGCGAAGGCGGUCCCCUGGGCCGGAACUGACGCUGAGGCGCGAAAGCGUGGGUAGCAAACGGG
rnacentral:rRNA from 1 species